CCUACGGGUGGCAGCAGUCGAGAAUUAUUCACAAUGGGGGAAACCCUGAUGGUGCGACGCCGCGUGGGGGAAUGAAGGUCUUCGGAUUGUAAACCCCUGUCAUGUGGGAGCAAAUUAAAAAGAUAGUACCACAAGAGGAAGAGACGGCUAACUCUGUGCCAGCAGCCGCGGUAAUACAGAGGGCUCAAGCGUUGUUCGGAAUCACUGGGCGUAAAGGGGGCGUAGGCUGUUUCGUAAGUCGUGUGUGAAAGGCGCGGGCUCAACCCGCGGACGGAACAUGAUACUGCGAGACUAGAGUAAUGGAGGGGGAACCGGAAUUCUCGGUGUAGCAGUGAAAUGCGUAGAUAUCGAGAGGAACACUCGUGGCGAAGGCGGGUUCCUGGACAUUAACUGACGCUGAGGCACGAAGGCCAGGGGAGCGAAAGGGAUUAGAUACCCUGGUAGUC
rnacentral:rRNA from 1 species